UGCUAGUCUGAUGGUAGUGGGUUAUCAGAACUUAUUAACAUUAGUGUCACUAAAGUUGAUAUAGAACCUUCCCACUGCUAAAUUUAGUUGGCUUUAA
rnacentral:Y_RNA from 1 species